rnacentral:lncRNA from 1 species
CCUGCACGGCGGUGGCCGACAGCGAGGGACGACCCUCCCUAGCUCGGAGAGGCCAAGGCCGGCAAUCGACGGUGACCGUCGGUGUCAGAAAAAUCAGAAAAAAGAAGAGGCCGAACAGGGACUUUCUUCUCCGACAAAAUCCGACGACACCUGUCGCCGGCAGUCGUGCCCACAGGCACGAGAAAGAAGGGAGAGAAGAGAGGAAGGGGAAGAAGGGACUACCUCGAGCUUCGAUGACCACGCCGGCCAGAAAUUGCGGU